CCUACGGGAGGCAGCAGUGGGGAAUAUUGGACAAUGGGCGCAAGCCUGAUCCAGCCAUGCCGCGUGAGUGAUGAAGGCCUUAGGGUUGUAAAGCUCUUUCAGCUGGGAAGAUAAUGACGGUACCAGCAGAAGAAGCCCCGGCUAACUUCGUGCCAGCAGCCGCGGUAAUACGAAGGGGGCUAGCGUUGUUCGGAAUUACUGGGCGUAAAGCGCACGUAGGCGGGACGAUAAGUCAGGGGUGAAAGCCCAAGGCUCAACCUUGGAAUUGCCUUUGAUACUGUCGUUCUUGAGUCCGGGAGAGGUGAGUGGAACUCCGAGUGUAGAGGUGAAAUUCGUAGAUAUUCGGAAGAACACCAGUGGCGAAGGCGGCUCACUGGCCCGGUACUGACGCUGAGGUGCGAAAGCGUGGGGAGCAAACAGGAUUAGAUACCCUAGUAGUC
rnacentral:rRNA from 1 species